GGAUAAAGUGUUGGUGGAUGGAGUGCCUUUAUUUAAUCAUUGGACCUCUGCAAAUGAUAUUAUCCAUAAGAGAUGGUCACUGAAUGAUACCAAAAAUUCAUCAUUACAACAGGAAUUGAAUAGUUCACUCUAUCCACAGCAUCCUGAAGAAACAAAAUCAGGUUCACAACCUGUCAAGAGGAUCCCUCAUUUUGGAUCUAUUGUGAGUGAAAGGAAGGCAUUUUUU